rnacentral:lncRNA from 1 species
AUGCAGGGGUCCAAGAAGUGUGCAUUUCGCCGGCACAACGCGACAAGAAAUGUGCGUUUCGCCGGCACAACGCGAAGCAUGUGUUCAAAACGCUACCCUGAACCUGUGGAUACAAAGGAUUUGACUGUGGUAGGAGUAGUGAGAAGUCAGUGUAGUGUUUUCGCGGCGAAAUUUUGUAGAAGAUAUACAAUUUCCUCGUUUAUUGCGCCCCCUAAUGGCGAAAUUUUCCGAAAUUUUUAUCGUACGACAAUAAGUUUAGCACCAACCUUUGUGCACAAUUUGGACUCGUUCCGAUGUCUAAUUUUGGAUUUCUUUGGAUUUUCCAAAGACAAUUUUCCUUUUCCAAAUAACUCCCGCCCACAUUAAUAAUUCUUGACCAUCAUUUUUAUAUAGACUCGGGUUUGCCCCGUGAUGGUUCCCUCAUAGUUUGAAGAACAUUCCUUUGGCCAAUUAGAAGAUAUACAAUUUCCUCGUUUAUUGCGCCCCCUAAUGGCGAAAUUUUCCGAAUUUUUUAUCGAACGACAUUAACGUUAACACCAACAUGUCUGUAAAAUUUGGACUCGAUCCGAUGUCUAAUUUUGGAUUUCUUUGGAUUUUUGAUAUUUCACGUCUAAUUUAGCUCAUAAACCAAUAUUCAAAACGCUACCGUUUCGUCGUCGAAAGUCGGAUCAAAAAACUGUCUGAGGGUUUCUUUGCGUGUGCGUCUGAAGAUGCCGUGUGCAAAGUUUGGUGUUGAUUGGUCGAGAAAUGUGGGAGGAGUAGCGAAAAAACAGUUUUGCGGUUUUCGCGAUUUUGCGAAAAAAAAUUCCAGACGCAAAUGGGCGUGGCCUAUGCCAAAAGAUGCAGCAGACUCCAGUGAAUCUGUGUGUACAAUGUUUUGAAUGUGGGAGGUUCGGUGUGGGAGUUAUAGCCCCAAACGCGUAUUCCUUGGUAUAGCGCCACCUAGUGACCGGCGGGUCUGGAUUUUGUCGUCUGCAUAGUCCGAAGAGAUCUGGAUCUAGUCAUGCAAUUGGCGUGUCGGCACCAUUUACGGUUUGGGCUGUGGUCCCACUUUUAGGGAGGUAAGUAUAAUAGGAAAAAUCCUUACAAAAACAAUAGGGAUCCAACCUGUUGGCUUGGACCCCUAAUAAUAAUAAAAAUCCUUACAAAAACAAUAGGGAUCCAAUCCUGUUGGCUUGGACCCCUAAUAAUAAGAAAAAUCCUUACAAAAACAAUAGGGAUCCAACCUGUUGGCUUGGACCCCUAAAAAAGAAAAAUCCUUACAAAAACAAUAGGGAUCCAACCUGUUGGCUUGGACCCCUAAUAAUAAUAAUAAUAAAAAUCCUUACAAAAACAAUAGGGAUCCAACCUGUUGGCUUGGACCCCUAAUAAUAAUAAUCCUUACAAAAACAAUAGGGAUCCAACCUGUUGGCUUGGACCCCUAAUAACAUAGAACUGACCUUUUCAUCUUUAUUAACAACAAGCCAUAUAGCCCGCCGCCUGUGAAAGUUCUCAGGACCAGGAAACAGAUCCUUGAUUUCCU